rnacentral:rRNA from 1 species
UACGAAGGGGGCUAGCGUUGCUCGGAAUCACUGGGCGUAAAGCGCACGUAGGCGGAUUGUUAAGUCAGGGGGUGAAAUCCUGGAGCUCAACUCCAGAACUGCCUUUGAUACUGAAGAUCUUGAGUUCGGGAGAGGUGAGUGGAACUGCGAGUGUAGAGGUGAAAUUCGUAGAUAUUCGCAAGAACACCAGUGGCGAAGGCGGCUCACUGGCCCGAUACUGACGCUGAGGCACGAAAGCGUGGGG